CAUGCACCGGUGGGGUCCCUCGGCCUGGCCUGUUGGAUUGGGCCUAAAUCGGCUCUCUGACAUCCCUCAAGGGGUCCUGGAUUGUGAGAGGGUGCAGGCCAGGCUGAGGGACCCCACCGGUGCAUG
rfam:Myotis brandtii contig150908, whole genome shotgun sequence.